AGCGGCGGACGGGUGAGUAACGCGUGGGUAACCUGCCUUACACAGGGGGAUAACAGUUAGAAAUGACUGCUAAUACCGCAUAAGACCCCGGUACCGCAUGGUACAGAGGUAAAAACUGAGGUGGUGUAAGAUGGACCCGCGUCUGAUUAGGUAGUUGGUGAGGUAACGGCUCACCAAGCCGACGAUCAGUAGCCGGCCUGAGAGGGUGGACGGCCACAUUGGGACUGAGACACGGCCCAGACUCCUACGGAAGGCAGCAG
rnacentral:rRNA from 1 species